UGGUGGAGUGGUUUGUCUGGUUAAUUCCGUUAACGGACGAGACCUCACCUUAUUAAUUAAUUAUACUAACAUUAGUUGUGUAAAAUAUCUUAGAGGGACCUUUGGUUAUGAACCAAUGGAAGUUUGAGGUAAUAACA
rnacentral:rRNA from 1 species